ACUCCUACGGGAGGCAGCAGUGAGGAAUAUUGGUCAAUGGAGGGAACUCUGAACCAGCCAUCCCGCGUGUAGGAAGACGGCCUUAUGGGUUGUAAAACUACUUUGAUUACAGGGAAAGAAAACGUACCCUCGUGAGGGUGCCUGACGGUACUGUAGGAAUAAGCACCGGCUAACUCCGUGCCAGCAGCCGCGGUAAUACGGAGGGUGCGAGCGUUAUCCGGAUUUAUUGGGUUUAAAGGGUCCGUAGGCGGAUUAAUAAGUCAGUGGUGAAAUCCCAUCGCUUAACGAUGGAACUGCCAUUGAUACUGUUAGUCUUGAAUGAGGGUGCAGUGGUUGGAAUGUGUAGUGUAGCGGUGAAAUGCAUAGAUAUUACACAGAACACCGAUUGCGAAGGCAGAUCACUAACCCUAAAUUGACGCUGAGGGACGAAAGCGUGGGGAGCGAACAGGAUUAGAUACCCUGGUAGGAUAGCGU
rnacentral:rRNA from 1 species